rnacentral:rRNA from 1 species
UACGGAGGAUGCAAGCGUUAUCCGGAAUGAUUGGGCGUAAAGCGUCCGCAGGUGGCAAUGUAAGUCUGCUGUCAAAGCGUCUGGCUCAACCAGAUAAAGGCAGUGGAAACUACAUAGCUAGAGUAAGGUAGGGGUAGAGGGAAUUCCUGGUGUAGCGGUGAAAUGCGUAGAGAUCAGGAAGAACACCGGUGGCGAAAGCGCUCUGCUGGACCUUAACUGACAUUGAGGGACGAAAGCUAGGGGAGCGAAUGGG